rnacentral:misc_RNA from 1 species
GAUGAAGAACGUAGCGAAAUGCGAUAAGUAGUGUGAAUUGCAGAAUUCAGUGAAUCAUCGAAUCUUUGAACGCACAUUGCGCCCCUUGGUAUUCCAUGGGGCAUGCCUGUUCGAGCGUCAUUUGUACCUUCAAGCUUUGCUUGGUGUUGGGUGUUUGUCCAUUCUCUUGCAGAGGGACUCGCCUUAAAGUAAUUGGCAGCCAGUGUUUUGGUUUUGAAGCGCAGCACAAGUCGCGAUUCAACGCUAUACGCCAGCUUCCACAAGCCUUUUUCACUUUUGACCUCGGAUCAGGUAGGGAUACCCGCUGAACUUAAGCAUAUCAAUGAGCGGAGGA